rnacentral:rRNA from 1 species
AAAACAUGUCUUUUUGAUAAUAAUUUAAAGUCUAAUCUGCCCACUGAUGUAAUAUUAAAGGGCUGCAGUAUAUUGACUGUACAAAGGUAGCAUAAUCAUUAGUCUUUUAAUUGAAGACUUGAAUGAAGGAUUUGAUGAAAUGUGAACUGUCUCUGUUUUAAAUAUAAAAUUUAAUUUUUUAGUUAAAAAGCUAAAAUAUAAUUAAAAGACGAGAAGACCCUAUAGAGUUUUAUAUUUUAAUUAUUUAAUUUAAUGUAUAUAUUUAAAUAUAUUAAUUAAUUAAAAUAUUAUAUUGGGGUGAUAAAAAAAUUUAAUAAACUUUUUUUAAAAAAUAAACAUAAAUAAAUGAUUAAAUGAUCCAUUUUUAGUGAUUAAAAGAAAAAAUUACCUUAGGGAUAACAGCGUAAUAUUUUUUUUUAGUUCAAAUAAGAAAAAAAGUUUGCGACCUCGAUGUUGGAUUAAGAUAAAAUUUAAAUGCAAAAGUUUAAAGUUUUGAUCUGUUCGAUCAUUAAAAUCUUACAUGAUCU